rnacentral:rRNA from 1 species
AGCGAACGCUGGCGGCAGGCCUAACACAUGCAAGUCGAACGAAGUCUUCGGACUUAGUGGCGGACGGGUGAGUAACACGUGGGAACGUGCCUUUAGGUUCGGAAUAACUCAGGGAAACUUGUGCUAAUACCGAAUGUGCCCUUCGGGGGAAAGAUUUAUCGCCUUUAGAGCGGCCCGCGUCUGAUUAGCUAGUUGGUGAGGUAAAGGCUCACCAAGGCUACGAUCAGUAGCUGGUCUGUGAGGAUGACCAGCCACAUUGGGACUGAGACACGGCCCAAACUCCUACGGGAGGCAGCAGUGGGGAAUCUUGCGCAAUGGGCGAAAGCCUGACGCAGUCAUGCCGCGUGGAUGAUGAAGGUCUUAGGAUUGUAAAAUCCUUUCACCGGUGAAGAUAAUGACUGUAGCCGGAGAAGAAGCCCCGGCUAACUUCGUGCCAGCCGCCGCCGUAAAAC